AAGUCGUAACAAGGUAUCCGUAGGUGAACCUGCGGAUGGAUCAUUAUCAAAACGUUAUCCACGUAUAAACCAAUCUAUCGUGAACUGUUUGUAUGCCUUUCGGACUAGAGAGAAGCGAUUCUGUCGAAACGAAAGCGUAUAAUUACUUCAUAUCAAAACAUUAACCAAUCGAACCAUUUCUAUAUGAAAUUGUUUUUUCUAUUCUUUGUGUGAACUGAAUUGUUUCUUACUCGUCCAUUCACGUGGGUGAGAAGAAAUCUAUUUACGAAACAAAAAGUAAAAAAGAACAACUCUUAGCAACGGAUAUCUUGGUUCUCGUAACGAUGAAAAACGCAGC
rnacentral:misc_RNA from 1 species